rnacentral:tRNA from 1 species
GCCCGGUGUAGCUCAGUUGGUAGAGCAGCGCAUUCGUAAUGCGCGGGUCGGAGGUUCGACUCCUCUCUCCGGCACCA